GAUUCUGGCUCAGGAUGAACGCUAGCGACAGGCCUAACACAUGCAAGUCGAGGGGCAGCGGGAUGAAGCUGCUUAAUGCCGGCGACCGGCGCACGGGUGCGUAACAGGUGUGCAAUCUGUCCAUAGUCGGGGGAUAGCCCAGCGAAAGCUGAAUUAACACUCCAUGUGAAUCGAAGCCGCAUGACUUUGAUUUGAAACGCAAGGACUAUGGGUGAGCACGCUUCUGAUUAGGUAGUUGGUGGGGUAACGGCCCACCAAGCCAACGAUCAGUAGGGUUCUGAGAGGAAGGUCCCCCACAUUGGAACUGAGACACGGUCCAAACUCCUACGGGAGGCAGCAGUGAGGAAUAUUGGUCAAUGGGCGAGAGCCUGAACCAGCCAAGUCGCGUAGAAGGAUGAAGGUUCUAUGGAUUGUAAACUUCUUUUGUCCGAGGGUAAAAAAGGCUACGUGUAGCUUCUUGCAAGUAUCGGACGAAUAAGCAUCGGCUAACUCCGUGCCAGCAGCCGC
rnacentral:rRNA from 1 species